GACACUGUGACGUAAUGAUUAGCGCGUUGGCCUCCGGAUUGAGUGGUCCAGGUUUGAGCCCUGACAGGGUCG